rnacentral:rRNA from 1 species
CUACGGGAGGCAGCAGUGGGGAAUUUUGGACAAUGGGGGCAACCCUGAUCCAGCCAUUCCGCGUGAGUGAAGAAGGCCCUAGGGUUGUAAAGCUCUUUCAUCGGGGAAGAUAAUGACGGUACCCGAAGAAGAAGCCCCGGCUAACUCCGUGCCAGCAGCCGCGGUAAGACGGAGGGGGCUAGCGUUGUUCGGAAUUACUGGGCGUAAAGCGUGCGUAGGCGGCCGAUCAAGUUGGGUGUGAAAGCCCGGGGCUCAACCCCGGAACUGCAUUCAAAACUGAUUGGCUAGAGUUCGGGAGAGGUAAGUGGAAUUCCCAGUGUAGAGGUGAAAUUCGUAGAUAUUGGGAAGAACACCAGUGGCGAAGGCGGCUUACUGGCCCGAAACUGACGCUGAGGUACGAAAGCGUGGGGAGCAAACAGGAUUAGAAACCCGAGUAGUCC